UACAGCCAUAUCACGUAGAAACAACUGUUUUCGUCCGAUCACCGAAGUUAAGCGACUUUGGACAUGGACUCUACCUCGAUGGGUGACCGCUUGGGAAUACCAAGGGUUGCACG